CAACAAUUAAACUGUUGUCUUGAUCACAAUAGUUGUGGAAGGACGUAAGUCAAUUAUGUGGACUAUUGUUGACACUUUAACUUUUUAAACUCUUUCUCUCUGUUACUUUUGUCACACCUAGUGGGAUGCAAAUGUAGGUUGAUUGUUAUGUGUACUAUUACUGAAAUUUUAUCUUUUAAACUGUCUAUCUCUCUAACGUCAAUUGACAAUAAAUACACUAUUGAUUUUGUGACACAAUAGGCGAGAGUAAGUCAUAACGUGUA